CUGCUGCCUUCCGUAGGAGUCUGGACCGUGUCUCAGUUCCAGUGUGGGGGGCCUUCCUCUCAGAACCCCUACGCAUCGUCGCCACGGUGGGCCGUUACCCCGCCGUCAAGCUAAUGCGCCGCAUGCCCAGCCGCCACCGGAUUCCUCCUUUCGCCCGGACCGGAUGCCCGGUCCGGGCGGCAUGGGGUAUUAGGCCGGGUUUCCCCGGGUUAUCCCCCUGUGGCGGGCAGGUCC
rnacentral:rRNA from 1 species